AUCAAGAAGACAAGAAAAUCAGUCUUACCGGCGAAUGAGAGGCGGGUUCAACGCGGUGGUGGUCGCGGCUGUUGUGCAGUGGUUUGGGUGGCGAAUGAGGAGCGCUGCUGGGUGGCGAAUGAGGAGCGCUGCUGGGUGGCGACUGGCGAAUGAGGAGCGCUCUAGAAUCUGGAGCUUGGUGGGCGACUGGGCGGUGGCAAUGGUGGCCUUGGUGAAUGGUGGGUGAGGGGGGAAGAAAGGGGAGGCUGGGAGCUUGGGUGAUUGGUGGCUGAUUAGUGAUUAGGGUUAGGUUAACGCGUACGCCAGUUUCUUUCUUUUUUUUUUUUUAAAAGCCAAAACGACGUCGUUUGGCUUCUGAAUUUUCAAACCACUAAACCGCCAAAAAAGCGGACGGUUCUUCUGGUUUGUCGGUUAAUUGCCGAUUUGACCGAUUUUUCACCGGUUCUUUGCCAUUCGGUUUUUUAAGUUACCCGAACCAGCUAGGUAAUCGGUUCCCGGUUUUUCCGGUUGAAUCGGCCGGUCCGGUCCGGUUUUCAGAACCAUGCUCAAGAGUAAGUUUUCACUGAUUCUCUACACAGGUUUCCUAAAAUGUCUCUGUAUUAUAAAGAAGCAAUCACAUUUAUUUCUUUUUUGUAGUACUUGUGGCUGGUUUUGAGGUAUGCAAUUCUCAAUUUGAAAGUUAUUCAAGCAGCAAUCUCUUUGGCCAAAUAAGAAGGUCUUCUUGUUUCUUCGGAUUUGACCAGUUUUGAGAUGGUGAGAAAAUUUAAGCCACCACUUAUGAAGUUAUUGGAGUCUGACAAUAUAGACCUCUGUUUUGCCAAUAAGGACGUAGCCAUUUCUAUGGAGGUUUUGGAGAGGAUGCUUCAAUUUUAUGAAGUAAAGCUAUGUCUAAGAAAGAAGACCAGAAUGAUGUUCUCUGAAGGCCGUUGUGAAAUUUGUGGCUGGUACUAACUGGAGGCCAGACCUUGUAACAAGAAGAAACACAAUUUUCACGGAUCUCCCAAACAUAAUACAUCAUUAUUUAGAUGAGUAUGAGUAGGAUUAUUUACUUUACUUUGAAUAUUUUGUAUUAUUAGUAGAUUGCAGUUUAAAUAACGAAUAUAAGUCUAAGUUUAGUUA